rfam:Trichinella nelsoni scaffold265s, whole genome shotgun sequence.
CGACCUCAGAUCAGACGAGAUUACCCGCUAAAUUUAAGCAUAUCAAUAAGCGGUGGAAAAGAAACGAAAACGAAUUCUCCUAGUAGCGGCGAGCGAAACGAGAAAAGUCCAUACACCGAAGUCGGCGAGCAGUUGUGUUCGUCAACAGUGUGGUGUUAAAGGUGUCGUUGCAUGUGCUGACAUGAGUUCGUAGGCUCCCUUGAUUGGGGCUUCAGAGCGGGUGCAGGACCCAUAACGAACGGUGUUUUGUGCAUGGCGUCGCGGCUCCUAAUCGAGUCGGGUUGCUUGAGACUGCAGCCCAAAGCGGGUGGUAAAUUUCACCCAAGACUAAAUAUUCGUACGAGACCGAUAGCGAACAAGUACCGCGAGGGAAAGUUGAAAAGAACUCUGAAGAGAGAGUUCAACAGGACGUGAAACCGUUGACAGGCAAACGGAUGGAGCUGACGGUGCAAUUUUGACCAAAAUCAGUCGUCGCUGGGUUCGUUGGCGAAUGAAUCUUUUGCAAACUUCUUGUUUGUGUUGUGUAGAUUAUCUUUCGUUUCGAAUCUACGCACGGUGCACUUUUGGUCGAUCAGCGUCACGAGCAACGUUCGCAAAUGUUUUUGCUGCCGACAGUAAUUCUGUUUGUUGUUUUUUAAAUGCAACAAACAAUAAACGCGGCUUGUGGAAGAUGUAAUUGUGUGAUAAAAAGUUUUGUCUCAAUUGCCGUGCCAUUGCCGCAUCUGUCGGAUGAAUGUUGUUGUUGACAAGUUGAAAAGCAUUGUUUUUUGCGUUCAAUUGUGUAAUGGGUCUGUUGGUGCCGUUGCGUUCGUGGGUUUCGGUUCACGAUUUGUCUGGUAGGUCGGGAAAAAAAUCAAUUAUGAAUAUAAUUGAUCUGACUACCGUGCGUAACGGUAUUCAAAUGUGUGUUUGAUGGACUUUAUUUGCAAUGGGCGCUCAAUGUGUUUUCUUAUAUCGGUGGCGUCAAUGUUAGCCUCCCAUCCGACCCGUCUUGAAACACGGACCAAGGAGUUCAGUAGGCACGCGAGUCGUUGACGUUUUUCAUUGAACAGUCGAAGGCGAAAUGAAAGUGUUCAUGAAAAUGAACUGUACUCUUUUUUAUGGAGUGCUGUUCAAUUUCAACAUGAUCGUCCUUUUUUUGCGCUUGUGGUGCAAAAUAGUAGAUGUAUGGGGACGCGCAGUGUGGUGCCGUUGAAUAGUCGCACUGUUCUCUCUUUCUCUUCGGGGUUGGAGGAACAAUUGUCGAUCAGUCGGUUUCGGAGCGUGCACACUGGUACCCGAAAGAUGGUGAACUAUGCUUGAGCAGAAUGAAGCCAGAGGAAACUCUGGUGGAAGUUCGUAGCGGUGUUGACGUGCAAAUCACUCGUCUGACUUGAGUGUAGGGGCGAAAGACUAAUCGAACCAUCUAGUUGCUGGUUCCUUCCGAAGUUUCCCUCAGGAUAGCUGGCAUUUGUUUGUAACAAUUUUAUCCGGUAGAGCGAAUGAUUAGAGGUGUUGGGAACGCAAUGUUCUCAGCCUAUUCUCAAACUUCGAAUGGGUAAGCAAGGCGUUUUGCUUUGAUUUUACGAUGAAAUCGCCCAAUUAGAAGAAUGUAUAAAUGCCUAGUGGGCCAAUUUUGGUAAGCAGAACUGGCGAUGUGGAAUGAACCAAAAGUCAGGUUAAGGUGCCAGACAUUGGCGCUCAUGAAAUACCAGAAAAGGUGUUGGUCGAUAUAGACAGCAGGACGGUGGCCAUGGAAGUUGGAAUCCGCCAAGGAGUGUGUAACAACUCACCUGCCGAAUCGACUAGCCCUGAAAAUGGAUAGCGUUUGAGCUCCAGGCCCAUACCUGACCGUCUCAAUUACGCACCCUUUUUUCGGAAAAGGUGUAAUGCACGUUGAGACGGGUAGGAAGGUCGCGACAGUGUUGCUUUGAAGAGUUUUGAGCGUGAGCUCGCUCGGAGCCGCUGUCGGUGCAGAUCUUGGUGGUAGUAGCAAAUAUUCAAGUGAGAACCUUGAAGGCUGAAGUGGAGCAAGGUUCCAUGUGAACAGCAGUUGGACAUGGGUCAGUCGAUCCUAAGAAAACGGCGAAAGCUUUUUCGAAUUUGCGACAUGAAUUGUAAGACUGUGAAUAAUUGUGUGCGUGUGUUUGCCAAUUAUUAAUUGUUGUGCGCAGUUGUCGUAUGUUUUCGAAAGGGAAUCCGGUUGAUAUUCCGGAACCGAGUAACGGAGACAAAGAGUAGCGCUUUAAUCUCUCUCUCUCUGUGGGGUUGGCGUUCAACUCAAUCGCGCGGUAACGCAAGCGAACUCGGAAAAUGACCGUCGUGAGUUUCGAAAAGAGUUUUCUUUUCUUUUUAAGGGACGCAUUCCCUGGAACCGGGUUGUCCGGAGAUAGGGAUUUUGGUAUCCAUAAAACGCCGACUUUUUCACGGUGUUCGGAGCGCUCUCGUCGGUACGUGAAAAUCCGAGCGACGCCUGGUAAAUCUCGUACUUGGUCGUACUGAUAUCCGCAGCAGGUCUCCA